UACGUAGGGGGCUAGCGUUGUCCGGAAUCAUUGGGCGUAAAGGGCGCGUAGGUGGUUCUGUAUGUCUACCGUGAAAGCGUACGGCUCAACUGUAUUUUGUCGGUAGAAACUGCAGGACUUGAGGCUGGGAGGGGCUGGUGGAAUUCCCUGUGUAGCGGUGAAAUUCGUAGAUAUUCGCAAGAACACCAGUGGCGAAGGCGGCUCACUGGCCCGGUACUGACGCUGAGGCACGAAAGCGUGGGGAGCAAACAGG
rnacentral:rRNA from 1 species